UACGUAGGGUGCAAGCGUUGUCCGGAAUUAUUGGGCGUAAAGAGCUCGUAGGCGGUUUGUCGCGUCUGCUGUGAAAACCCGAGGCUCAACCUCGGGCCUGCAGUGGGUACGGGCAGACUAGAGUGCGGUAGGGGGAAGCGGAAUUCCCGGUGUAGUGGUGGAAUGCGUAGAUAUCGGGAGGAACACCAGUGGCGAAGGCGGCUUCCUGGACCUGUUCUGACGCUGAGGAGCGAAAGCGUGGGGAGCGAUCCGG
rnacentral:rRNA from 1 species